GACGAACGCUGGCGGCGUGCUUAACACAUGCAAGUCGAACGAAGUGGCGAACGGGUGAGUAACGUGUAAUCAACCUGCCCUUCAGAGGGGGACACCAGUUGGAAACGACUGCUAAUACCGCAUACUGAAGGCGGGGAUUGCGUCCGAUUAGCUCGUUGGAGGGGUAACGGCCCACCAAGGCGAUGAUCAGUAGCCGGUCGGAAGGGAUGAACGGCCACAUUGGGACUGGGACACGGCCCAGACUCCUACGGGAGGCAGCAGGGGGGAAUCUUCCGCAAUGGACGAAAGUCUGACGGAGCAACGCCGCGUGAUUGAUGACGGCCUUCGGGUUGGAAAGCUCUGUUAAUCGGGGCGCGGUACCGGAAUAGAAAGCCACGGCUAACUACGUGCCAGCAGCCGCGGUAAUUC
rnacentral:rRNA from 1 species